rnacentral:tRNA from 1 species
AGUCCUGUGGCACAAUGGGUCAAUGCCUCUGGCUGCUAACCAGAAGGUUGGUGGUUUGAGCCCACCCGGGGAUUG